rnacentral:lncRNA from 1 species
CGCCCGGGACCGCAGGGCGGACACCCGCAGGACCCGAACCCCCGCAUCCCGGCUCCGGCUGUGGGCUCCGUCACCCGCUUUCGGUCAGCCCCGUCCCGGCAUCGCGGCAGGAGGGGGGAGUCGAGUCCCGGCGAGGGAGUGCCCAGUCCCCCCGGCCUUGUCUCAACCCCAAUCCGGCCGUGCUCCGCCGCCCCCGAGACCCGCCACCCGGGGCCGGCCGGGGGAGAGGCGGCACCGCUCCGCCGGCGGACACCGGCAGGACUCUGCCCCGCUGCAGACCCUGUCCCGAGCCGUGGCCCUGCAGCAGCACGCAGGGCUCGGAGCGGAGCCCGCCGGGAGCAGCCCCCGGGCCGGGGCUCGCCCGGCGCCGAGCGAGAGUCCCGGGCCGGCGGCACGGGGGGCGGGGCCGCAUGAGGAGCGGGGCCACGGGGCACAGCCCGAGCGCGCCUGGGAACUGCCGAGGGGUCCCGGGCGGCGCCGCCUCUCCGUCAUCGAGGCGGCAUCGGCCUCGGGUCCGGGAUCGGUUCCGGGUCCGGGAUGGCGGCGGCGAUUCCCGCCGCGGAGCCCCCGUGUGGGCCCGGGACCCCGCAGGGCGCCCUCUGGCGGACGCGGAGCGCCCGGUGCGAGCGCGCCGCCCCCGGCGGCCCCGGGACAGCGGCACGAGGGGGGCGAGGCCAAGGAGGGGCGGGGCCGGCUCAGGGGCGGGGGCACGGAGCGCGUGCGCAGCUCGGGACAGCAGAGCGCGUGCGCGGCGCGGGGCCGCCUCAGGUGUGCGGGGCGGGGCCGGCACAGGUGCGAGGGGGGGGACCGAGGCCACUUAAACACCGGAAGGGCGGCGGCCGCCAUUUUCUCCGGGAGGAGCCGGCUGCGGCCGCUCCGGUGAGGCGCUUCUCUCUUUUCUGCUUUUAUCUCUCCAUUCUGCUUUUAUCUCUCCUUCCUGCUUUUAUCUCUCCUUUCUGCUUUUAUCUCUCCUUUCUCAGCUUCUCUCCCCUCUCUCCUUCUCUGUUUUUCUCUCUCCUCUCUGCAUUUGUCUCUCCUCUCUGCUUUUAUCUCUCCUCUCUGUUUUUCUCUCCUCUCCUUCUCUCUCCCGUCUCCUUCUCUCCCCUCUCUGCUGUUCUCCCCCGUCUCCCCUCGCACCGCCCGCCCCCCCCUGCCCCCGCCUCUGUUCCUGCUCUGUUCCCUUACAAACCCUGACUCCUGUCUCUGUUCUUCCUUCUCCUUCUCCCUCCAUCCUCCCGCCCGUCCCGACCCUGCAGCCUCCCGUUAUCCUCGCCUGUGCCCGCUCUUACCCUCCCUGUCC